rnacentral:rRNA from 1 species
AUUGAACGCUGGCGGCAUGCUUUACACAUGCAAGUCGAACGGGGUGAAGGGGCAACUCUUCAUUCAGUGGCGAACGGGUGAGUAAUACAUCGGAACGUACCCCGUAGUGGGGAGUAACUCGGUGAAAGCCGUGCUAAUACCGCAUAUGCUCUACGGAGGAAAGCAGGGGACCGGCAAGGCCUUGUGCUAUGGGAGCGGCCGAUGUCCGAUUAGCUAGUUGGUGAGGUAAUGGCCACCAAGGCGACGAUCGGUAGCUGGUCUGAGAGGAUGAUCAGCCACACUGGGACUGAGACACGGCCCAGACUCCUACGGGAGGCAGC